rnacentral:misc_RNA from 1 species
AUUCCGGUUUCAAAAUACUGCUCGAAAAAUAAAACUGCAACUCCGCGUUGCGGGUGGUCUGUUUCAGUUCUAUUUGAAAAAUGAAACAGCUAGAGCAAAGUAGAGCCGCGUUGCAACCAGUCUUACACCACCGACUAGUUUCAACCCUCGAACUGAAAAAAGUGUAAAAGGCGAACUGCAAAAAGUGUAAAAGUUACAUCUUUUCCAGUUCAGGGGUCCGAACUGCAAAAAGUGUAACUUUUGGACUUAGAAAAAUUUUGAAGAAUUUGCGGAAUGAUUUCACCCGCUGUCAAAUCGGGACUUAGUGAAAUUUGGAUGCUGGUAGCAAGAGGUGUUGCAGGUAAGUUCUGCUCGGAUUUGCGAUCAGCUGCCGGAAAAGGCAAGAUUCCGGUUCUCUCAAACUGGAUUACCGACAUUACCAGGCCAGCGAAUAAUGUUGUGGCCGAAUUCGGUUGAAUUCUUGGUUCUCUAGUCUGGGGGAAGCGAAAUUCUACCUUCUGGUAGGAAACUGCUAAAAUCUGACGGCUGCGGUUGGAAAAGGCAAGAUUCCGGUUCCUUCAGAUGGGGAAACCAAGAAUCACGGAGAGGUGAAUAUAUUUGUGGCUGGAUUGUAUUGAUUUUUUGGCUCUUCGGUCUGAGGGAGGUAAAUUUUGACCUUCCGGCCGGAAUUCAAGGAAUUUAUCGUCAGCGCCCGGUAAAAAAUAAGGUACCGGUUCCCCCAGACCGGAUAUCCAAGAUCACGGGCUGGUGUUUAAUUUUAUGGUCAUAUUCGAUUGUUUAUUUGGUUCUACGUUCUGGGGAAGCAAAUUUUUACCUUCCGGCCGCAAAUUCAUCGUCAGCGCCCGGAAAAAAACGAGAUUCCAGUUCCCCAGAUCGGAUAUCCAAAAAUCACGGGCGGGUAGUUAAUUUUAUGGUAUGAUUCGAUUGAUUUUAUGGUUCAUAGGUCUGAGGGAACCAAAUUUGCCUUAAUAUCGACCGGAAGUCAGAAAUUUGCUUUCCCCAGACCGAAGACCCAAGAAAUCAGUUGAAUCCGGCCACACAAUUAUCUACCUCUCCGUGAUUCUUGGUUUUCCAGUCUGGGGGAACCGGAAUCUUGCUUAAACCACGAAUCACGGGAGGUGAAUAAUUUUGUGGCCGGAUACAACUGAUUUCGUGGUUCUUCGGUCUGGGAGAAGAGAAAUUGUACCACUCGGGGGGAAGUGCAAUGUUACCUUCUGUCCGGAUUUUUGUCAAAUCUGACGGCCACGACUUUUGUUGAAAAAUUUAAAGUUUUCUACAGCUAAAAUUACUUUUCACGGAUUAGAUACGCACGCGAACCAACAGCGAACAGAACGUGUUCCCGGAUUUCGCCUACCGGAAGUUCCGUGCGCCCAGACCCGAAGAAGAAAACAUUUGAGAAUCGAGGACAAGCAACCUGGAAAGUCCGGAGAGGAGGAUCAAAACCAGCUCUCGGAAAGCCAGGUAUCGGCGGGAGAAAACAUACGCGAUGGCACCGACUAUCCCGGCUGACGCUUAUCCCGCUCGCGGCAUUAGAUCUGGCUCCGUAAGCCGCUGCUGAUCCGACAAUCGUGCCAGCUCGGUAAGUCCCCUUCGUGUUCUCCGACAAAGACGUCAGUGCCGAAGCCGCAGUCACAGCGGUUCGGCCCGUUCGUGCAGUGCAUCAGAGCAGUCUAGGUCCAGAUCUGUAUCGGUCGCAAACAGGGCAACCGGCGCGGCACUAGUCGUUUCUUGGUUUGUCCCUACGAUCACUUGAACAUUCCACAGUCCCCGGGGAAACCCAAGUCCGACUUCGGUGCGGCCUCGUCUUGAGGAGUGAUUCAACACGACAACGAGCAGGGUGAGUGCGAUGGCUCGAGGAUCGCAAACUUGUUUAAUAUUUAAGAGCACCGGAUACUGCAGGACAAUAUUGACCAAGAUUAAGACGGGAAAUUUAGGAACGCUACUGCAAGGCAGAGUUGAUCGCCGGUGGCUGUCGCACAUCAACUACCAUUAAGCUGUUUUGCUGCUCCAGGGCGACUCAACCAACGAUUGGCGCACCAAAAAGUUCUGGAUGUUCCGCGGUGGGUCGAUCUAUAAGCCCCCUCUUAUCAACUUUUACACCCAGGGAAUGCCCGAGAAGCUGCUGGUGGAUCUGGACGGCGUCGACUACAACAAGGGCAACCUUUCGGCGGCGUAAGUCGCUUCACUCUGGUCAAGCUACAAUAAUUCAUAUCCAUUUUAAAACAAAGCCAAUGUGACCGCUUAGGUCGGCGACUCGGUGAUCUUUUGCAUCGAGCAUGCCGACGCGGCCGAGGAGAUUUGCGAGUGGUUCGCCGAGUCGCUGUCGAACAACGAAAACCAUGUUCAAGCGGAAGAUCGCCCGCAUCUACCUGAUCUCGGACUCUGCACAGCUGCAGUGUCAAGGUAUCGAACGUGAGCUUCUUCCGGAAGGCCGUGGAGAAGAAUCUGCUGGGCAUCUUCAAGAAUCUCUUCGCCUACCACAUGCAGUUGGACAGCCGUCUCAAAGCCGAGGGCUUCAAGUCGCGCGUGAUGAACGUGUUCAAAGCGUGGGAGGAGUGAGCUACCCGAAGGACUUUUUGCUAAGGCUGCAGCACACCUUCCUGGGGAUUGCGAUUGUGAGUAGAUUUAUUUAUUGGUUUGACAAUUUCAAAAAUACAAUCUCUCAACAGGUCGAAAAGCAACCGGAAGAAGUGCCCGCCCUGCUGAAGGGAAUUGCCGAUACAGAUUCCAGCACGCCAGUGCUCAUGCACGACAUCUACAACGACGGGAUGCCGCUAAACACCACGGAGGACAUUGACGGCGUUCCGAUGCAGAGCUCGGAGGAGUAGCUCAAAACUGGCGGUUCGUUCCAAGUGGGAAACGGUUGCCGCCCAAAUGUUCACUAACAGCAAGUGGGACACAUUGGAUCCGGUUUCUUCUGCUGUGCCACACAUUUCACUGCGCGUUGAUGACGAUCCCAACGACGGUGGAGGCAGCAAGGACGACCAAGCUCGCCGGCUGACAAUGCGCGAGAUUGAGGAGAAGAUCGUCCAGUAUCAGGAUUAGUUUGAGUACGCCAUUAGGCAGGUGCGCGACGACUGGAACUUCGGCGAAGAAAUCGCUCACUACCGGCGAUCCUCGCCGUCCGAGUACGUACCAUGAACAAUUCGUCCCGCCGGCCCAGUUCCCCCCUCUACUCCAGCAGAAGCCGCAGCAAGCGCGAAGCGUCCCUUUCAUUGCUUCAAACCAGCAGUAAGUCCACCCAUCGGUGAGGACUUUCAGAAUGGACAGAUUUCGGGCGAAGGUCGAGCAGAUUUACAAAAACCAAUUUCUGAUGGCACCCGCCGGGUUGUUCUUUCCUGAAGGUCAACGCGUCUCGAAAAAAUCAUCGACUUUGUGCACCAGCAACGAGCGAUCGAUCCGGAUUGAAAGCCAUCCGUUCGCGGUCAAUAUAUUCCGGAAGCUGGUUGCAAGUAGGAACAAGACAGAGUUCCGAAGUGACGAUGAUUGCGCUGAAACUCCGUGACAUCCGCCAGGACCGGUAAAUCCGGAUGAUGGCAAUUGCCAAGAGACCACGGCUACUUAGGAUAAAUCAUCUCUUUAGUGCUGUAAAUAGACAGACCGACAUUCGCAACACCAAAGCUGGUUCCGGCUCUGUUGAGCGGAGUUACUCGAGUGACGUAGGUUACUCCAAGAAGCGAACAAGCCAGGAUCGGUGGGCGGAAUAUUUAACUUGGAACGGCCUCAAAGUGCUCCACUCAGUGAUUUUCUGAUGUUAGGUCAGAAACUUAAAUUAUAUAAAGCAUUGUAAAAUUAGUCUUUUUCAUAAAUUUAUUGUAUGGAAUUUAGAAAAAAAUAAAGACAUUGUUUAAUCUAAUAGUUAAAUUGAAAUUUAAUUUCUCUUAAUAAGAAAGAAAAUCCAAAAACGCCCAAAUGUAGGCAAUAUGCAAUUUUAACCGGCUCCGUGGCUUAAUGGUUACGGCUUCUGCCUCACAAGCACAAGGUUCAGGGAUCUAAUCCCGGUCGGUACCUUUGAAAUUUGGAAUCAAAAAUUUGAACUUUGAAUAUGAACAA